AGUGAACGCUGGCGGUAGGCCUAACACAUGCAAGUCGAACGGCAGCACAGUAAGAGCUUGCUCUUACGGGUGGCGAGUGGCGGACGGGUGAGGAAUACAUCGGAAUCUACUUUUUCGUGGGGGAUAACGUAGGGAAACUUACGCUAAUACCGCAUACGACCUACGGGUGAAAGCAGGGGAUCUUCGGACCUUGCGCGAUUGAAUGAGCCGAUGUCGGAUUAGCUAGUUGGCGGGGUAAAGGCCCACCAAGGCGACGAUCCGUAGCUGGUCUGAGAGGAUGAUCAGCCACACUGGAACUGAGACACGGCCCAGACUCCUACGGGAGGCAGCAGUGGGGAAUAUUGGACAAUGGGCGCGAGCCUGAUCCAGCCAUACCGCGUGGGUGAAGAAGGCCUUCGGGUUGUAAAGCCCUUUUGUUGGGAAAGAAAAGCAGCAGGUUAAUACCCCGCUGUUCUGACGGUACCCAAAGAAUAAGCACCGGCUAACUUCGUG
rnacentral:rRNA from 1 species